rnacentral:rRNA from 1 species
UACGUAGGGUGCAAGCGUUGUCCGGAAUUAUUGGGCGUAAAGAGCUCGUAGGCGGUCUGUUGCGUCGGCUGUGAAAACCCGGGGCUCAACCCCGGGCCUGCAGCCGAUACGGGCAGACUAGAGUUCGGCAGGGGAGACUGGAAUUCCUGGUGUAGCGGUGAAAUGCGCAGAUAUCAGGAAGAACACCCGUGGCGAAGGCGGCUCUCUGGGACGGUACUGACGCUGAGACGCGAAAGCGUGGGGAGCAAACAGG